AGUGAACGCUGGCGGUAGGCCUAACACAUGCAAGUCGAACGGCAGCACAGUAAGAGCUUGCUCUUACGGGUGGCGAGUGGCGGACGGGUGAGGAAUACAUCGGAAUCUACUUUUUCGUGGGGAAUAACGUAGGGAAACUUACGCUAAUACCGCAUACGACCUACGGGUGAAAGCAGGGGAUCUUCGGACCUUGCGCGAUUGAAUGAGCCGAUGUCGGAUUAGCUAGUUGGCGGGGUAAAGGCCCACCAAGGCGACGAUCCGUAGCUGGUCUGAGAGGAUGAUCAGCCACACUGGAACUGAGACACGGUCCGGACUCCUACGGGAGGCAGCAGUGGGGAAUAUUGGACAAUGGGCGCAAGCCUGAUCCAGCCAUACCGCGUGGGUGAAGAAGGCCUUCGGGUUGUAAAGCCCUUUUGUUGGGAAAGAAAAGCAGCAGGUUAAUACCCCGCUGUUCUGACGGUACCCAAAGAAUAAGCACCGGCUAACUUCGUG
rnacentral:rRNA from 1 species